rnacentral:rRNA from 1 species
UACAAAGGUCUCAAGCGUUGUUCGGAUUCAUUGGGCGUAAAGGGUGCGUAGGUGGCGCGGUAAGUCGGGUGUGAAAUCUCGGAGCUUAACUCCGAAAUUGCAUUCGAUACUGCCGUGCUUGAGGACUGGAGAGGAGACUGGAAUUCAUGGUGUAGCAGUGAAAUGCGUAGAGAUCAUGAGGAAGACCAGUGGCGAAGGCGGGUCUCUGGACAGUUCCUGACACUGAGGCACGAAGGCCAGGGGAGCAAACGGG